rnacentral:rRNA from 1 species
AACGAACGCUGGCGGCGUGGAUAAGACAUGCAAGUCGAACGCGAUUUUCCCGGUUAGCAAUAACUGGGAAAAUUGAGUGGCGAAUGGGUGCGUAACACGUGGGAAUUUACCCGGAAGUGGGGGAUAGCUCGUCGAAAGGCGAAUUAAUACCGCAUGUGCCCGUGAGGGCAAAGUGGGGGACCGCAAGGCCUCACGCUACCGGAGGAGCCCGCGUCCUAUCAGCUAGUUGGCGGGGUAACGGCCCACCAAG